CACCACUCUUCCUCGGGUACCUUCUUAUUGGCACAUCAUCCACUAGGAAUCUGACACGCAUUUCGAUGUCAGUGAAAGCAAUGUUAACCAGAAGGUUCGAAGCUCUUUUCGAAUUGAUCUUGUGGAUCAGUGCCCCAUGAAUCCAACUACAAUUUAAGUAUGAGGUGUUGAAGUACAUGAACUUGAGGCAUGCAUGGUUCCCUUGAAACAAACCACAAAAUCACAAAACACGGAGGUACUAUUAUUGAAACACAAGUCUUGUUAUACACACGGCUUCAAGAAUUGGUAGAAAUAAUAAUAACCCCACAAAAUAGAUUUGAAAGUAACAGCAGGUAGUGCAGCCUGAUCAAGCGAGCAAAUAAUUAAUGUGCUGCUUAAUGGGGACUUGUGCACCCUCAUUUUUCAAUUACAACUUGCAAGAGAGCUUCUUUCUUGAUCUCUAUGUGUAGACAAAUUUUACAAGAUUGGGGCAAGCACUGUUUUGUCGGUCACACACGGAGGAAGAGAAAUGGAGGAAGGUUGGAAGAUGGUGGCCGGUAGGGUCACUUUGGCCGACAAGUCAAAAACUUCAAUACUUCACUUCUUGUAAAAACUCUGCAAAAGUCAAAUUAACCUUCUAUUUCUAUGCAUUCUUCUUGCAUCACACAUGUUAGAGUCUGAAUAAUUUGUGUUUGUCAUGUUUUCGGAUUAGUAGGUUCAAUGUGGAUGCUUUUGCUUUAAUCACAUUUUUCAUCCAACAAAAGCCUAUAUCAUAGCCUUUUUCACACUCACUGAGCCUUUGCUUUUGAAUAUGCCUGUCAGCUACUAAUAUUCAUUUUGUUACAAACACCGAAUGAUGAAUGUAUAUGAAUUAUGUUUUCCUA